rnacentral:rRNA from 1 species
UACGUAGGGUGCUAGCGUUGUCCGGAUUUAUUGGGCGUAAAGGGCUCGUAGGCGGCCAACUAAGUCAUACGUGAAAUCCCUCGGCUUAACCGGGGAACUGCGUCUGAUACUGGAUGGCUUGAGUUCGGGAGAGGGAUGCGGAAUUCCAGGUGUAGCGGUGAAAUGCGUAGAUAUCUGGAGGAACACCGGUGGCGAAGGCGGCAUCCUGGACCGAUACUGACGCUGAGGAGCGAAAGCCAGGGGAGCAAACGGG